CAAACGACUCUCGGCAACGGAUAUCUCGGCUCUCGCAUCGAUGAAGAACGUAGCGAAAUGCGAUACUUGGUGUGAAUUGCAGAAUCCCGUGAACCAUCGAGUCUUUGAACGCAAGUUGCGCCCGAAGCCACUAGGCCAAGGGCACGUCUGCCUGGGCGUCACGC
rnacentral:rRNA from 1 species